UGGGGAAUAUUGGACAAUGGAGGAAACUCUGAUCCAGCAAUUCUGUGUGUGUGAAGAAGGUUUUAGGACUGUAAAACACUUUUAGUAGGGAAGAAAAAAAUGACGGUACCUACAGAAGAAGCAACGGCUAAAUACGUGCCAGCAGCCGCGGUAAUACGUAUGUUGCGAGCGUUAUCCGGAAUUAUUGGGCUUAAAGGGCAUCUAGGCGGUAAGACAAGUUGAAGGUGAAAACCUGUGGCUCAACCAUAGGCUUGCCUACAAAACUGUUGAACUAGAGUACUGGAAAGGUGGGUGGAACUACACGAGUAGAGGUGAAAUUCGUAGAUAUGUGUAGGAAUGCCGAUGAUGAAGAUAACAAACUGGACAGAAACUGACGCUGAAGUGCGAAAGCUAGGGGAGCAAACAGG
rnacentral:rRNA from 1 species